rnacentral:rRNA from 1 species
GAUGAACGCUAGCGAUAGGCCUAACACAUGCAAGUCGAGGGGCAUCACAUGAAGUAGCAAUACGGAUGGUGGCGACCGGCGCACGGGUGAGUAACACGUAUGCAACCUGCCUUCAACAAGGGGAUAACCCGUUGAAAGACGGACUAAUACCCUAUAACACAGGGGUCCCGCAUGGGGAAUAUUUGUUAAAGGACAACCGGUUGAAGAUGGGCAUGCGUUCCAUUAGCUAGUUGGCGGGGUAACGGCCCACCAAGGCAACGAUGGAUAGGGGAACUGAGAGGUUUAUCCCCCACACUGGUACUGAGACACGGACCAGACUCCUACGGGAGGCAGCAGUGAGGAAUAUUGGUCAAUGGACGCAAGUCUGAACCAGCCACGUCGCGUGAAGGAAGACGGCCCUACGGGUUGUAAACUUCUUUUAUACGGGAAUAAAGUGCCCCACGCGUGGGGUUUUGCAUGUACUCUGCGAAUAAGGAUCGGCUAACUCCGUGCCAGCAGCCGCGGUAAUUA